UUUUGGUAAAAUGUAUUUCAUUCUAUUUCCUGCAAUUGCUCAUGGUUUGUGCUACUAACCUGCUUGGCUUUUCAGUAUUUCUCUUCGGCGCCAUAUACAGUACUGUGGUUUGUUUUCCACCGUAAUCGUUCCCGUAUGGCUGAAGAAUGAAGAACCACAUAAUUUCAAGUAGGGAAGCGUGAUCUUCACUCAACAGCUCAUCAAACUCGGGGCACAUUAAGGCAUGCGGAUCAACACAAAUUGUUGUUCUCUGUCUUUAUCAGACUCAAACCACAUGUUCAGGGACCCCGUCAUCGUAGCGUUCUCAGAAUUCUGAAACUGCCACAUUACAAUAACCACAAAAGCUCCCUCGUUACUUCAGCAAUAUCAUGAAUGGAUGAAUUGCUUCAUUGUUCCUCAUCCCGUUUUUAUUCUACAAAAUUCCUCUAAUGCAUCUAGGGAAUCCUUUAUACUUUAAUAUGCAAAUGUUAUCAUUCGGACCUUAAUGACAUCAAGCUAUUUGGAAUACUAUCCAAAAUAGUGGUUUUUGUCUUAAAUAAUACCUGCAAUAGUAAAUUCCAAACUGAUCUAAUAUGCUAUUUCAACCAAACUAUCAAUGGCGAUUUGUUACAUUUUCUUUAUUUUUCUGACUAAAUUCUAGAUAAUCUUUAUGUUUUUUUGGUCCUUCAUUUCCCAUUUGUCUGUUGCAGACAACGAACGACAGUUAGCCAUAACAACGUCGUCUGUACUCUGUACCAAAACCACGCUUUUUUCUUUAACCAUAUUUCGUCGCUCCUUAGUUGAUUAAUGUUAAGUGGAAGAUCGCAGACCACAAUUUUAUACUUGUAGGGUCUCUUAACAUUGACAACAAGAGAAUUAAUUGAAACAUGGAUAAAUUUUUAAUUAAAAAGACCAAGGAACCACCAUCAUCUGGAAUUUCAAGAGGAAUGAAACAAGCCAGUCUUCACCAACUUGGUGGAGUUGUGAUUUUAGAAGAUUUGACGUCAGCCAAUCAACAACUCUCAAAUCCUGAAAUUUCACCUGAUCAGAAAAUUUAUAUUCUUAACAAGUUGAAGAACAAGAAACCUGCCAAAGAAAUUCUUAAAUCUACCGGAAUCGGUCGCACAGUUCAUCGCCUUUGUCGAGAUGAAAACCCUAUUGUUUCGUGUGCAGCUAACGAGGUUUAUGGUUUCUGGAAGACCCAUAUACUACACCUUCUCCGGAGGAAGCCAAUCGAAGUGGAAAGUGACGCUGAAACCAAGCGUGGUAGAGCCAGUGCCAAAAAGAUGAUUAACCUUGCAUUAAACAACUCUGUGAUUGCCGAAGAGAUUGAAAUUCACGUUUUUAACAAGUGCAAAAAAAUUAUGAAUCAUACCUAUAAUCGUGUCAUAAGAAAAAUUCACUUUUGCUUCAAAGGUAACGAAGAUCAAAAGCGGCGAGUGAAUGAAAUGAACAGUGAUCUAAAAGAGUUUGUGGAAGAAAUGUACCGGGAUGUGAUGAAAGUAUAUGCGAAACAGUGAAAUGUACAAGAACAAGUUUCGUGUAAUGUGGACAUAACGCUCAGCAAUCCGCACGCCUCAUGUGACUAGGGUAUUCUGCGUUGAUGGAUGGCAGAGAGGGAGCGGGACAGCAUGGAAGAAAGGCGGUAGCUAUAGGAUAAUAGCCCAUGUGAGGGCGAUCGAAAAUUCGUGCUUCCAACUAGGGCGGAAAACACCACCACCAACAAACCUAAAUUUAACAAGAAUAUUUUUGUUUUAACUCCAUGAUGUUUUAAACAAGAACGAUACAGGCAGUUAGCCUUGAAGGGUUUCAUAACAGUAAAUCAAUAUUUAUUCGUAAAUACUCGGUGAUUAUCCAUGAGAAUCACAAUUUCUUCAAUUGAAAUCGUAAAGCAACGAAAUUUUUAGAAACGGGAGACGACCCGGACAAACCCUGCACGUCACACGGAUGGCGUUCGAGAUGACGAGUUAUUUCGUUGGAAGCUGUACCGGGGCGACUUCUGUUCAAUAGUUGAAGUACUUGAAUAUACUCCAAUUCAGUGUAUUGAGAUCCGCGCUCCAGAAUACCAUUUAAUAUUUCCUGUGGAAUUAAGACAUAAUCAAUGCAUUUAUGCAAUUGCAAAACUAUCUACGGAUUCGCUUAAAUGUGCUGCCAAACACAAUCAUGCUCCAAGCUACAUUCAUAAAGCCCAUCCUUACUUCCAUUCCUUGAAGGAACGAGGAAUCCUUCAUUAAUGCAGCAUAACAAACCAAUUGCUUCACUCGAAAAAAGCAGAAAGUGUCCUUUACCUCUGGCGUUACGCAAAGCAGCUCAAAAUAUUGGCGCGCAUGGUCCAACGCUGGUUCGCGGGCCAAAGUGAUGCUGGUUAACGUUUGCUGCAAGGCGAAAAUAUUGCGACACAUCUUUUUGACGCCAUUUUCAUUCAUCCGCCGGAUAUGCUGCACCGAUGACAUUAUGAUACUGGAUACAAGAGUUACCCUUGACUGCUUCCGACAACUUCUAGCAUCAGUGAUUUUACUUUUGGUGCGUCGUUUUUCGAAAUUAAGUUUCCAGAGGUCCUGCCAGAGGAAUUGCGUCCACUUGAUGCUCUUUGAAAAGGAGCUUGAGAAGUUGCAGCACGUUUCCACUGCAGUACGUCAAUGGACGAUUUUACGUAGAUAUAGUGAUUCAAGUCUUCCAGAAGAAUUUUGUAAAAUCGCUAUCAAGUAUUAAUGAAACAACUUUGGUUAAUAUAUUAUUGUUGGUGAAUACAUGUAAUACCUCUUG